rnacentral:rRNA from 1 species
GAUGAACGCUGGCGGCGUGCCUAAUACAUGCAAGUCGAGCGAACAGACGAGGAGCUUUCCCCUCUGACGUUAGCGGCGGACGGGUGAUUAACACGUGGAUAACCUACCUAUAAGACUGGGAUAACUUCGGGAAACCGGAGCUAAUACCGGAUAAUAUAUUGAUCCGCAUGGUUCAAUAGUGAAAGACGGUUUUGCUGCCACUUAUAGAUGGAUCCGCGCCGCAUUAGCUAGUUGGUAAGGUAACGGCUUACCAAGGCGACGAUGCGUAGCCGACCUGAGAGGGUGAUCGGCCACACUGGAACUGAGACACGGUCCAGACUCCUACGGGAGGGAGCAGUAGGGAAUAUUCCGCAAUGGGCGAAAGCAUGACGGAGCAAGGCCGCGUGAGUGAUGAAAGUCUUCGGAUCGUAAGACUCUGUUAUUAGGGAAGAACAAAUGUGUAAGUAACUAUGCACGUCUUGACGGUACCUAAUCAGAAAGCCACGGCUAACUACGUG